GAGAGAAAUCAAUUUUGUAGCUUUUUGACUCGUGUUCUUCUUAUGUUCUUACCAAAAUGUUGACGAGAAAUAAAAGAAAGAAAAAUAUUUUUAUGAGACUCCACCCAUGGGGGACGCCCUUACCACAGGCGGCCUCUGAUUGGUCCAGACAAUUCUAUCUUUUUCCUCAUAUUUAGCUCCGCCUUACAGAUUUUUACAGUCAACAAAUUUUAGUUACACUGUAAGGUGUGUCUAGUCUUCAAUAUUUUACUUUGUGAAAGACGAAAGAAAACUUACCGUAGUAUAUUACAGUGCUUAUAGUUUAGACUCAACUUCAAAACAUUAUUGACUUACAUCAAAAGGAACUCUUUCGUGUUAGCGUUAAGAAAAAAGCAGCACAAGAUAAGAAUUAUGUUGGUGGAACAGGAGGCGGCCCCCAAAUUGAAAAUACCCUGUACAUACACUGCAAUUGACGAAGCAGUUCUUCAACUCUUAGAUCCAGCCUCUCUACAUGGGAUUCCAGCGAUUUUGGAAAGUGAAGAACUUAUUGAUGGUAAUUCACUGAACAUACUUUUCCAACCCUCUGAUAAAUUUUGUUCUUUUCUAUCCUUGUUUUUAAAUCCUAAAAUAAUUUUGGUACUAUUUUUUCACUAUUAUCUUACUUUUGAAAUACAGUAUACUUAUUUUUUGUAUAUUCUUAAAAAAAACCAACAUUAGUAAGUUAGUUAAAUUUAUAGCUUGCAUAUUGCUUCCCUAAGUUAGAUAUUAAAUGUUGUUAUAACUCGUAUGUUAAUGGAAAAAAUUGAGAAGUGCAAAUAUAAGAAAUUUAACGCCUGGAACUAAUUGCCGUAUAUUAUAAUUAAAUCAAUUUAUAAUAUUGUAACCAUGAUAACUUAGUUUAUAUUUACAUUUAAAAAUAUUUUAUACAAACAUUUUUAGAUGGUCAUCACUAUUUUUCAGACCAUUUUUUGUUCUAAAAACUAUUAUAUAUUUAUAUUAUACCCUUAACAGAGACGUCAAUCAAACUAUUAUACAUUUCCUUCCAGAAGAAGAAAGAGCACAAACCCCAGGACCCUCAGGAGCUAGGUUUACGGCUAUUCAUUCCAGCGAGGAAUCUAUGUUUAGGACCGUUCAAGAGAAAGAGGAUUCUCUAACUAUCUUGCUGACUGAGGAUAUACACACUUGUUAACUAAUAACAUAAGAACAUAAAAACAUAAGAAAAUAAGGAGUCUGCAAUAGGCCGGUUGGCCUGUGCAUGGCAGCUCCUGUCGAGAGUUACUACCACUCUCUAUCAUCCAUGAAUCUAUCUAGCCUCCUUUUGAAACUUUCCAGAGUUCCCGCACUUACUACAAAGUUGAAAACUGCUACCGAUUCAAGUGUUCCUGAAUAGAAAAGACGCUUCACGCCCAAAUCAAGCGGAAAUUGGUGGGCUCAGUCAAGAUGGUGGACUCAGUCAAGGUGGUGGACUCAGUCAAGAUGGUGGACUCAGUCAAGGUGGUGGACAUAUUCUGAAUGAUGGAGACACUAAUGGUGGACAGAUUCAAAAUGAUGGACAUGAUCAAGAACUGGGACCUUCUUCCAGAAAAAAUGCAAAAAGCCUUCGCACAAAUUGUCGGUAAACUACUGGAGAACAAAAUAUAUGAAUAAUAAGGCGAGUGUCAAACAUUUCCAAAGCCAACUUCGGGCAGCUAAAUCUACAAUAAGGAAGCAAAAUACUUGGAAGCCUGCGGCAGCCAUAUUCUCCAAUGCACAGUUAAGAAGAUUAUCGAAUCCUGCAUCUAGAAGUCCUUGGGACCAAGACAGUGUGGCUAAAGCUUUGGCACAAAGUCCAUCUCUUCCAAAGCUUAUGGUUUCGUUACUAAUGUAUUAAAAUAUCCAUUACCCUCUGCAGAAUGUCUUAGCCGAUGAAUAAUGAACUUUCAAACUCCCCCAGGAAUCUUAACUAAAAGCCUGGAUUUAUUAAAUGCAAAUGGUUUACUAAAAACAGUUCAGAAAGAUUGACAGUACUUUCGUUUGAUGAAAUGUCCAUUAAGUCCCUGUCAAAAAGCAAUGGUUAUUCCAGGAAAUGCACUACCUAAGAUCUUUAACUUCCUUCAAGAUAAAUACAAAGUAAAUUAUGUUUUAACAUCUACAUUAAAUCAGGAUGCCCUUGAGAAUUUUUUCUCUUGUGUUCGGGUCAUUGGGGCAGGUGAAUAUG